rnacentral:rRNA from 1 species
AUUGAACGCUGGCGGCAUGCCUUACACAUGCAAGUCGAACGGUAACAGGUCUUCGGAUGCUGACGAGUGGCGAACGGGUGCGUAAUACAUCGGAACGUGCCCAGACGUGGGGGAUAACGAGGCGAAAGCUUUGCUAAUACCGCAUACGAUCUAAGGAUGAAAGCAGGGGACCGCAAGGCCUUGCGCGUUUGGAGCGGCCGAUGGCAGAUUAGGUAGUUGGUGGGAUAAAAGCUUACCAAGCCGACGAUCUGUAGCUGGUCUGAGAGGACGACCAGCCACACUGGGACUGAGACACGGCCCAGACUCCUACGGGAGGCAGCAGUGGGGAAUUUUGGACAAAGGGCGAAAGCCUGAUCCAGCAAUGCCGCGUGCAGGAUGAAGGCCUUCGGGUUGUAAACUGCUUUUGUACGGAACGAAAAGGCUCUGGCUAAUACCUGGGGCACAUGACGGUACCGUAAGAAUAAGCACCGGCUAACUACAUG